CUGCCAGUCUGAGGAGCUGAGAAGAUGUUUACUGCACAGCUGGUUGUCUGAUAAUACAUUUUCAUUUGAUUGCACUUAUUCUUUUGGUUUCAUCUGCCAGUCUGAGGAGCUGAGAAGAUGUUUACUGCACAGCUGGUUGUCUGAUAAUACAUUUUCAUUUGAUUGCACUUGUUCUUUUGGUUUCAUCUGCCAGUCUGCGGAGCUGAGAAGAUAUUUACUGCACAGCUGGUUGUCUGAUAAUACAUUUUCAUUUGAUUGCACUUAUUCUUUUGGUUUCAUCUGCCAGUCUGAGGAGCUGAGAAGGUGUUUACUGCACAGCUGGUUGUCUGAUAAUACAUUUUCAUUUGAUUGCACUUGUUCUUUUGGUUUCAUCUGCCAGUCUGAGGAGCUGAGAAGAUGUUUACUGCACAGCUGGUUGUCUGAUAAUACAUUUUCAUUUGAUUGCACUUAUUCUUUUGGUUUCAUCUGCCAGUCUGAGGAGCUGAGAAGAUGUUUACUGCACAGCUGGUUGUCUGAUAAUACAUUUUCAUUUGAUUGCACUUAUUCUUUUGGUUUCAUC